AUUGAACGCUGGCGGCAGGCCUAACACAUGCAAGUCGAACGGUAACAGGAAGAAGCUUGCUUCUUUGCUGACGAGUGGCGGACGGGUGAGUAAUGUCUGGGAAACUGCCUGAUGGAGGGGGAUAACUACUGGAAACGGUAGCUAAUACCGCAUAACGACGCAAGACCAAAGAGGGGGACCUUCGGGCCUCUUGCCAUCGGAUGUGCCCAGGUGGGAUUAGCUAGUUGGUGGGGUAACGGCUAACCAAGGCGAUGAUCCCUAGCUGUUCUGAGAGGAUGACCAGCCACACUGGAACUGAGACACGGUCCAGACUCCUACGGGAGGCAGCAGUGGGGAAUAUUGCACAAUGGGCGCAAGCCUGAUGCAGCCAUGCCGCGUGUAUGAAGAGGGCCUUCGGGUUGUAGAGUACUUUCAGCGGGGAGGAAGGGAGUAAAGUUAAUACCUUUGCUCAUUGACGUUACCCGCAGAAGAAGCACCGGCUAACUCCGUGCCAGCCGCCGCGGUAA
rnacentral:rRNA from 1 species